AUCCAGAUGACGAGCCCCAAAUAGGACGAAAUGUGCAUCCUGGAU
rfam:Trichobilharzia regenti genome assembly, scaffold: TRE_scaffold0000066